AUUCGGGUAAGGAUGGAAUGGUGAUGCGAAGAAGCCGUUACUCAGUGACAAUGGCCUGAAAUUGAGAAAGUAAAGGCAACUCACCUCAGUGGGAUCAUGCAGCCCAAUCCAGACCCGACUUUUCUUUUUCUGGUUUGCAGAGAUGUAAUAGGCCACCACAUCUGACUCUUUCUCAUUGAGGAUGGAGGCAAGAUGGGUCCCACAGCCAAAGCUCAGGCACUCAUUCUGAGAAUAGCCAAGCAAUUAAUAAACUCCACCACUAUUACUAACACACACACACACACACACACACACACACACAGACUCUUUCCCACAAAGCUUUCCCAGAGUGGUUCAGAACUUGUCAAAUAAGUAAUAACUAUUAUUUAAAAAUCAUAAAACACCAGUGGUGGAGAGUUGGAAGUUUUUCAAAUGGGAACUAAAGCAGCUGAGGAAGGAAGAGAGAAAAGGGGGUGAAGAAAAUGCUGUGAGUGGAGCCAGGCCCCUUUCUCCAUCCUCUGGACCUGCUGGGAAACUAAAGAAACCUGCUGGACCUGCUGCACACGAGUGCAAUUAAAGGUGCUUCAAGCACUCAAUCUUGGUGCAAGAAAACCACCUUGAAGCUCAUACACAAAAACUGGGAUGAAUGCAGGAAGAAUGCUCAUAGUCAUGAUUUGGCUGCACUCUUUUCAGAAGCGGGUGGCGCUGUGGGUUAAACCACAGAGCCUAGGACUUGCCAAUCAGAAGGUCAGCGGUUCGAAUCUCCACAACGGGGUGAGUUCCAGUUGCUUGGUCCCUGCUCUUGCCAACCUAGCAGUUCGAAAGCCCGUCAAAGUGCAAGUAGAUAAAUAAGGACCGCUCUGGCGGGAAGGUAAACGGCGUUUCCGUGCGCUGCUCUGGUUCGCCAGAAGCGCUUAGUCAUGCUGGCCACAUGACCCGGAGGCUGUCUGCAGACAAACGCCGGCUCCCUUGGCCUAUAGAGCGAGAUGAGCGCGCAACCCCAGAGUCGGUCACGACUGGACCUACUGGUCAGGGGUCCCUUUACCUUUAUGCAGGCAUGCGGAAUGUUGAACUGUGUUUUAAUCUGGUUUUGUAGCUUAUCCUUGAAUUUAACUAUUAUCUUAAUGUUUGAAAUAGUUGUUCUUAACUGUAUAUAGCUGGGUGAUGUCAGGUUUUCAACACCAUGAUGUAUCACCAGCCAAACAUCACAAUCUGGCGAUACACCAUAAUGUUGAAACAACAAUCUGUAUUGGCCCCAGCCCUCAAGGCAUGGGGUGAAACGGCCACAGCUCUCAUUGCAAGAGAUGAGGCACUUUCAUCCCAACACGCUGCAGAGCUGAGGAUGACACAGCUUGUUUGUGGUUCUUGGCUUGCGGGUGGGAAGGCUCCACUCCCCCCCCCCCAGCUGAGUGAGCCCUGAGGUCCCUCCUGCUCACAUGCAAGCUGGAGGGACAAAGGGGCAGAGAUAGCUUGUAUCUUUUCACUUGUGAGAUGGUACCUUCUUGCCAGGCAAUCUCUCCUGACUGUUAAUUAAGCUUUCUUGGCUCGUGUGGAAACAGGUUAAUUGAACACAAUGGGUGAGCAACUCUCUUUUGAUUAGACCAAGAUGCUGCCAGGUAUUGUCUCCCAACAGCUCACACUGAUAGCCCUCCUCACAAAAAUGUCAUCUGAAACCCAUCACAGCACCUGAUGUGACAGCUUGGUUGGUGAGAAACAGCUUCAUACCUCAGCUUCAGACCAAGUUUUCUGAGAGUCAAAAUAUGCAUAGCAGCUGCCCUGGGAUUUCAGCCAAUUCCUGGGACAGGAUCUGGCCUUUACUGUAUGGAGAGAGGAGUAAAAGAAGAAAAAGAUGGGGGAGGGGGACAAAAGCUGUUAGAAUGCAAUUUUCAAUGUGGAAUCCUACUUCACCUACAAAUUUGCACAGAUAAUUUUAAGAUUAAUGAAUGCAGACCUAAUUUAAACAUUCCUGCUUCCAUUGGUGACUGGUACCCCAUGGCACCAAUAUGAAAUUGGGACAGAAAGCAGGGAGGCAAACAGUAAGUGGAUCCAGAGUCCAUGACAGGCAGCGCCACUCCCUGACAGGUUGUCAAUAUGAAUAUGAGGAGUGGUUCAGAGCAGACUGAGGUUGGUAGGGCAGUUCCCUAUUCACCCUAAUGGACCUGCUUCCAUUGCCUGGUUAUUUAUUCCAACAGCCUUUGCUGGGUUACCAUCACCUGGAAAUCUGAGAAGUAGUUUUGUUUUUAUAAAUGCUUAACCCCAAUUAAAAUUUCUGGGGAAUUUCCAGAUAAUUGUUAAAACACUCACCUGCUGGGAAUGAAUAGGAGACCAGGAAACCAAGAAGGCAAAGGUACGCCGGCUCCCUCCGCCAAUAAAGCGAGAUGAGCGCUGCAACCCCAGAGUCGGUCAUGACUGGACCUCAUGGUCCUUUACCUUUCUCUCUGCCAGGCUUGGGCAGAGCAGCAGCAGCAGCAGCAGCAGACGCACUGCCGAACAGCAUCUCUAUCUGGUGUAACUUUAUGCCAGCUUCAGUCACAAUGGUUUGCUUUACACCAGCUUCUUGUGCAUGGCAUUGUCCCAAAAUCUCAGAGGCUGGAGGGGUGGCUGAAUAAAGCCUUGGUCUGCACAGGCAACAGAAUUAGGUGGUAGAACUGGGCAGUGGUUAUAACGGAGUGCUCCAUUUCGGAGUGCUCUGGGAGGAAUCAUAUGGGAGCUGACUGAGUCAGACCAGUGGUCUAUGUAAUCCAGUAGGAAAGGCAAUCGUUCUGCAGGGUCUCCUGCACUAUUCUUAUAGGUAGAAGGCCAGCACACAGUGAGUGUGUUGGGGUGGAUCAAUUCUCCUUGAUGUACUAGCAGAAGGAAUGGCUAACUGAUGGUCCUCCAUGUCAGUGAACUCCCAACUCCCACCAGCUCCAGCCAUCAAAGCCAAUGGCCAGGAGUGAUGGGAACUGUAGUCCAGCCACACCUGGAGGGCAAAGUAUAGCCCCACCUGGUCUAAGGGUUCUAGUGAUCUGGGACAGAGUGGGUGUGUCAGUGUCCUUCAUCUCUUUGCUCAUGCCUGCGAGUAGCAGAACUGGAAUUAAUUACAGGAAACAAGCAAUUAUAAGCCAGAUCUGCUGCACUACACCAUGCUAGCUAAGCCAAACUAAGGCGAGAUGGCUGAUGGGAGCUAUAUUGGUCAUAUGCAUCUGUAUCACUUUUUGAGCUAUCACUGUCAGUUUCAAUAUCUCCUUCUUUUGCUUCUUCACAUUUGCCGUCAUAGUUAUCACAGAUUUCUAAAAAUGCAAGGCUUUGCUGGAUUUAAAUAAACAUUUCUACCCUUUCACAAGUGAAGGAAGGCAUUGAAAGGUUCUUGUUGACAAUGGCAGUGCCCCCUAGAGGCAUAAAUGCACCUUGCUCUUCCAUUUCAGAGUUGUAGUCUCAAAUUACCACGCAGGACUUGCUUCUCCUUAUUGUAUCUGAUGCUGUGCACUGUCUGGCACAAAAGUCUUCUUGUUACAUAGUUUUUCAAAAGCAUUUGUGGGGAGUAAAUGUAUGAACACCUUGUUUUAAACAUUUAAUACAUCAUUCUAAACUAAUAUAUUCUACAACCCCUCCCCCAUUCAUUUUUUUCAUGGGGGGGAGAAUUUGGAAAAAAUAACAAUAGGGAAAACGAUUAUGCCCCCACCUAGAGCCUUCACAUCUCUACAUAGGAUAGGGUUGGGAAACCUUUUCCAGUUUAUAGGUCAUAAACAACUUGGGGGUGGAGUGUCAAAUGCCUGUACAGUGGUACCUCGGGUUACAGACGCUUCAGGUUACAGACGCUUCAGGUUACAGACUCUGCUAACCCAGAAGUAGUACCUCAGGUUAAGAACUUUGCUUCAGGAUGAGAACAGAAAUCGUGCGGUGGCGGCGCAGCAGCGGCAGCGGGAGGCCCUAUUAGCUAAAGUGGUGCUUCAGGUUAAGAACAGUUUCAGGUUAUUUAUGAGAAAUUAGUUUUGGAAAACCGUCACAAUGAUAUACAUUGAAACUCAGCCAGGGGGACUCGAGGAAGUCACUUAAUAAUGUUAGCAAAAGUGGAAUUAUUACAGUUAGGAUUUAUGUUUGUUUGUUUGUUUAUAAAUUUGGAAAAUCAAUAAAAAAAAUUUGG